UUGAAUCGUUUCUCAAUGAAUAUAUAACCCUAAUACCCAAAUCACAGUUUCCUCUCAUCUCUUCACCUUCAUCACGACUGAAUCCUCCAUAACCCUAAUAUCCCUGUAAAGACUGCACACCAAUUCAUCACACCUCCGUCCACCGCCAUGAGUUUUAUCAAUUGUGUACUUCGAUCACGAUUCAGUUCUGGUGAUCUACGCAGCCACCAUCACACUUUGCCGUAAACCUUUGUUCGAUGGAGCUUUCGGUCGUACCGUAACUACCAUUGCGCCAUUAGUUUAGGUGAGCUCUGUGCUGAUAAACAUAAUGCCACAGGAAAUUAGUUUGAACUCUAAAUUAGUUUGAACUCUGUGAUAUUCAACACACCUAGCAAGAAUUUCAACGACUUAAAGCUACAUUAGAUUUGGUGUGUGAGUGUGAGGAUCUGUUAUUAAAGGAGUUUGGAUUGUUGAAGAAGAACCCUUGAUAUAACAUCCAGUGGGCGGUGGUCAAGCCUAUCCGUGAGCCACAUGUAGCUGUCCAGAAAGUUGUUUAGGGUAAUCCUAAUCCUAGAAAUAUUUGUUGAAGCCAAAUCUUACACUUAUCUAUACACUGAUGAAGAAAAUGAUACGAUUGUGCUAAUGGAAAGGCAAUACCAGCCGCCAAUGGGAAUGAUAGGUAACCAAUCUUACGCUCUGGUAUGCAUCAUCUGAAUGUUGAUGACAUUGAUCAUACUUCAAGAGCUGCAGAAUCUUGUCAAAGCUCUCAAACCACCAUGGCAUUUCAGGUACAUUAUUCUUUUUUUAACUAUUUAAAACAUUUUUCCCUUUUUUUACAUUACAAAUUAUAUUAACUUUUCUAUUCUAGAGCUCGUAUGUGGAAGCUCUCCAAUCCCCAAUUUCCUUAUGUAUUAUAAUUUUCAUAUGCCAACAGUACCCCAGGCCCAAAGAUCUUAGUGAAGUUGCAUGGUUGAAUUGGGAUGGUAUGUCAUGUGUUUGUAUCAUUUUGGUAUAUAUGAGAACGUAUUACUAAAAUCACAGAACUUUGGCUCAAUAACAAAAAAAAAAAAAACACUUUCUUUAUUUACUUCAGCUAAUCCUUUUUAAUGAUACAAGUCUACCAUAGCUGAUAGCAUGAUAAAAGAUAGAAAAAAAGGUCAAUUUAUAUCAGAAAAGAAGGAUCUUUCUAAGUUUCUAAGUCAAGUUUAAAUCUAUUUUUUCAUAUUUUUUCCAACUGGAAUGGGUAAGGUUCGUUAAUGUGAUAGUGCAUCAUUUUUUAUAAAGGAACGGUUAUGUGGAAGCUUUAAACUUUUCUUUGCAACAGUAGUUGGUCACCUUGUUUCUGUUUUUAAAUAUAUCAAAUUUUUAUCAAAAUAUUAAUUCUAAAAUUUGGUGUGGGUGCAAAUGGGCUGGUUGGCUCUGAUUAAUUUACACGAACACUUACCUAUUACUUUUGACUUUCAUAAUUUCAAUCAAAAAGGUUUGAAGUGAAACUUCAGCCCAUUUAAUUCCAAAUCCUCUAGCCAAACAAAGGCUUGAUGAACCCACUAGCCAAACAUGAUGAAGCUGCGGUGUACAACUAGCCCAACUUUAUUAACUUGAUGCUAGUUUGUCAUGAAGUGUUCUGUUGUCGUAAUCGAUUGAUGCAGAUCAUGAUUGUCUCAGGACGUUUAUAGGGUCUGGAAUAGAGGUCAUGGUUGGGGUCUAAUGAUAUGUUGGCUGCUGUUAGUUCAUCUACCGUUGCUUCUGCUUUGUGGGUUGCUCAAAAUGUUACCGCAUACAUGGUUAAGGGUGGAGCUAAUAUAAAGUAUGUAUGACCAAUGAUACUCUUUUUGUAAUUUUGUUUGUGUGGGUUGUUUGUGUUCAUUGUGUUGAGCAUGCUGGUUUGUUUUUAUCUGGAAGUUCAGAUGUCGGUUGCUUUUUUUUGUUGGUUUGUAAAUCGAAUGGUUUUGUUAAUGAAACAGGUAGUGAAACUAUUUUUCAUACUAUUAAUAGAUGACGUCAUUGUAAACAUUUCGAUAACAUUUUGUUUAUAAUAAGAUUCUCUGGUAUGGGGUCUAUGAUACCAAUGGGUCACAUUGGAAUUUUAACCCACUUCAUUUUUAGUAAAGUUUAUUUAACCAUACGUAUUGACCCAUGACUCACCAUGCCGCUUAUGUUUUGAACCAUGAGUUUCUUACCAAAAAAUGCUCAUUUGACCCGGUUCU